UGAGGAAUAUUGGUCAAUGGGGGCAACCCUGAACCAGCCAAGUCGCGUGAAGGAUGAAGGUCUUAUGGAUUGUAAACUUCUUUUACACGGGAAUAAAGUGGGGGACGUGUCCCCCUUUGCAUGUACCGUGUGAAUAAGGAUCGGCUAACUCCGUGCCAGCAGCCGCGGUAAUACGGAGGAUCCGAGCGUUAUCCGGAUUUAUUGGGUUUAAAGGGUGCGCAGGCGGGAUGUUAAGUCGGCGGUGAAAUUUUGCAGCUCAACUGUAAAAGUGCCUUCGAUACUGGCCUCCUUGAGUGUGGAUGAAGUAGGCGGAAUUUGUGGUGUAGCGGUGAAAUGCUUAGAUAUCACGAGGAACUCCGAUUGCGCAGGCAGCUUACUAAGCCACAACUGACGCUCAUGCACGAAGGCGUGGGGAUCAAAC
rnacentral:rRNA from 1 species